UACGUAGGGUGCAAGCGUUGUCCGGAAUUAUUGGGCGUAAAGAGCUCGUAGGCGGUUUGUCGCGUCUGCUGUGAAAACUCGGGGCUUAACCCCGGGCCUGCAGUGGGUACGGGCAGACUAGAGUGCGGUAGGGGAGACUGGAAUUCCUGGUGUAGCGGUGAAAUGCGCAGGAUAUCAGGAGGAACACCGGUGGCGAAGGCGGCGACCUGGUCCGAUACUGACGUGAGGCGCGAAAGCGUGGGGAGCAAACAGG
rnacentral:rRNA from 1 species